UACAGAGGUGGCAAGCGUUGUUCGGAAUUACUGGGCGUAAAGGGCGCGUAGGCGGCCUACUAAGUCAGACGUGAAAUCCCCCGGCUUAACCUGGGAACUGCGUCUGAUACUGGAAGGCUUGAGUAUGGGAGAGGGAUGUGGAAUUCCAGGUGUAGCGGUGAAAUGCGUAGAUAUCUGGAGGAACACCGGUGGCGAAGGCGACAUCCUGGACCGGCAUUGACGCUGAGGCGCGAAAGCCAGGGGAGCAAACGGG
rnacentral:rRNA from 1 species